UACAGAGGUCUCAAGCGUUGUUCGGAUUCAUUGGGCGUAAAGGGCGCGUAGGCUGCGGGGUAAGUCGGGUGUGAAAUCUCAGGGCUCAACCCUGAAACUGCACUCGAUACUGCUCUGCUUGAGGACUGGAGAGGAGACUGGAAUUCACGGUGUAGCAGUGAAAUGCGUAGAUAUCGUGAGGAAGACCAGUGGCGAAGGCGGGUCGUCUGGACAGUUCCGUGACGCUGAGGCGCGAAGGCCAGGGGAGGCAAACAGG
rnacentral:rRNA from 1 species